GUGCCAGCCGCCGCGGUAAUACGUAGGGUGCGAGCGUUGUCCGGAAUUACUGGGCGUAAAGAGCUCGUAGGCGGUUUGUCGCGUCGUCCGUGAAAACUUGGGGCUCAACCCCAAGCUUGCGGGCGAUACGGGCAGACUUGAGUACUGCAGGGGAGACUGGAAUUCCUGGUGUAGCGGUGAAAUGCGCAGAUAUCAGGAGGAACACCGGUGGCGAAGGCGGGUCUCUGGGCAGUAACUGACGCUGAGGAGCGAAAGCGUGGGUAGCGAACAGGAUUAGAUACCCUGGUAGUCC
rnacentral:rRNA from 1 species